CCGGCUCCCGCUUCAGGGCUCAGGCACGCGCCCCCCAUCCCCUCUUCAUUUCCUUCCCCCUCCGCAGCGCGCGGCCAUUCACAAUCACAGGUGAGGUGCCCCCUCCUCUCCUCCCGUCCCACCUCCUCGCCUCUGCGCCACCACUUCUCUCGCGUGGCGAUGGCGGGGCGAGACUAGGGUUUCGUCGGCCACCCUCCCUCCGCGGCGGGAACCCCGCAAUCCUGAGCCCUACUAGCUCGGUCGUCGGCGAUCGAUCGCGCGCGCCUGAUCGUCGGCGGGAUUUUGCUCUCCGGUUCGGGGAUCGGCAGCAUGACGGGGUCGGGGGAAAAGGCGGCGGCCGGCGGGGGAUCGGAGAGGCGCAAGUACCCGAUCCACGUGGACGACUACGAGCUGUACGAGGAGAUCGGGCAGGGCGUCAGCGCCAUCGUGUACCGCGCGCUCUGCAAGCCGCUGGAUGAGGUCGUCGCCGUCAAGGUGCUCGACUUCGAGCGCACUAACAGCGAUCUGAACAACAUCAUGCGUGAAGCUCAGACUAUGAUUCUCAUAGACCACCCUAACGUUGUCAAGGCCCAUUGUUCAUUUACAAAGGAUCAAACGUUAUGGGUGAUCAUGCCAUACAUGGCUGGAGGGUCUUUUCUUCACAUAAUGAAAUCAGUCCAUCCUACUGGUUUCGAGGAAGCGGUCAUUGCCACGGUGCUUCGUGAAGUCCUGAGAGGUUUAGAGUAUCUUCACCAUCAUGGGCAUAUACAUCGAGAUGUGAAGGCAGGAAAUAUUCUAGUAGAUUCUCGGGGUGGAAUUAAGCUUGGGGAUUUUGGAGUCUCUGCUUGCCUUUUUGAUUCUGGUGAUAGGCAGAGGGCCAGGAAUACUUUUGUGGGAACUCCUUGCUGGAUGGCUCCCGAGGUUAUGGAGCAGCUACAUGGAUAUGAUUUCAGAGCAGACAUUUGGUCCUUUGGAAUUACUGCACUUGAACUUGCCCAUGGUCAUGCUCCUUUCUCAAAGUACCCCCCUAUGAAGGUCUUGCUUAUGACGCUUCAGAAUGCUCCUCCGGGUCUUGACUAUGAGAGAGAUAAGAAAUUCUCGAGGAACUUCAAGCAAAUGAUUGCUAUGUGUUUGGUAAAAGACCCUUCAAAGAGGCCUUCAGCAAAAAAGUUGUUGAAGCAACCCUUUUUCAAGCAAGCUCGUUCCUCCGAUUUCAUCACUCGAAAGCUUUUGGAAGGAUUACCUGGCCUUGGUGCCAGAUAUCAAGCUUUGAAGGAAAAGGAUGAAAGUUUAAUGGCUCAAAAGAAAAUGUCUGAUGGAAAGAAAGAAGAAAUCUCACAGGAUGAAUACAAAAGGGGUAUUAGCAGCUGGACCUUUGACAUGGAUGACCUGAGAUCCCAAGCUUCAUUGGGCACAGAAUGUGAAGACAGUAUAUCAUGCAAAGAUUCAGACGCAUCUUUCUUUGACUUGGACAGCUUGCAGGAGCAAGCACCAGAAGGGCCUAAUAUGUCAAGAGAUUUCUCAAUGAAGUAUGAUGUUGACAUGGAAAAUGAUGUUAUAACCAAUGAUAAGUCAAUUGUUUCAUCCCCUGAUCAGACUGCCUGCUUGUUAAGGAAUGCUUCUAUGCGUGGGAUGCCCAUAAAUGGACUUGUCAAGAAAGACAAUUGCAUGGAAAGCAAUGAUUUGGAAUGCCAAGAGAGACAUCCAGACAUUAUUCCAACUAGCUCACUCCAUGAAAGGAAAUUUUCUCUUAGUUCUUGUUCAUCAGAUGGACUCCUUUCAUCCAAAGAGAGCUCUAAACUGCAAAGUAACAUUCAUAACCGUGACAAGGGUAAUGGAGCGCCCUGGCAUGUAUCAGAUGACAUAUCUCCUGAUGCUGCUCCUAAGUUACAUAAAUCAGCAGAGGACCAUGACGAUAGAUCGAAACCUCCACUUAUAAGAGGUCGAUUUAAAGUUAUACCUGGGCAUGUUGACUUUGAUAAGGCUCAAUCACCUGGCCUACAAAAGUGUCACAGCAUGCAGACAAUUUCUCGCCUUCCAUCUUUAAGUAUCCCAUCUUCUGCAGAAGCAGCAUCAAGCAUUAUUGGUGGCUCCAUUUACAUGCAACUAUAUAGCGUUCUUCAGACAAAUAUGCUUCAGAGGGAGCAAAUACUUCACGCGAUGAAGCAGUUAAGUGGUUGUGACAUGGCUUCGCCAGGAGUACCUUCUAUGGCUUCACCGUGUAUCCCUUCCACAAGCCGCUCAACAUCUCCAUCAGCUUCAAUAUCAGUUGACAGAUCCAUGUCAUUGAUGAUGGUAAAUAACCGCGGCUAUUGUCCAGUUGGAAGCUGCACAUGAAAAGGAGAAAGAGCUAAUGAAUGAGAUAUUGGAGUUGCAAUGGCGGUUAUUGUGUACACAAGAUGAGGUGCAGAGGCUUAAAGCAAAGGCAGCGCAGAUCUGAUGCUCAAGCUGCGAAGGGAGCAAUUAAGGGCACGUCAUAUGAUUCGUGUCGAUUGCGAUUUUCAAGUGGCCUUUUAGCUUAGGAGGCAGUGAAAAUAAGGAUGGGACAUGCCCUAAUGUUGGCCCCAAAUAUAUGUGUAUGUGUUUCUGGAUGGCAUGGCGCUCUGUUUUUGCUGUAGCGCUGUUUCCCAUGCGGAGUGAAAGUAGUUGAACAUGCUAAAAUUUGUAAGUUUAUGUCGUUUUCCUUUUAAUAUUACGGUCAAAGCCAUUUGGUUGCUAGCAAA